UAAUGUCUCGGUGGAUCACUCGGCUCGUGCGUCGAUGAAGAACACAGCUAUCUGCGAGAACUAAUGUGAAUUGCAGGACACAUUGAUCAUUGACACUUUGAACGCACCUUGCGGCCCCAGAUUCCCCCUGAGUACAGACCCGGACGGCUCAGUGGGA
rnacentral:rRNA from 1 species